rnacentral:tRNA from 1 species
GGGCAUGUAGCUCAGCGGUAAGAGCAGUCGACUUUAAUCGACCAGCAGUUGGUUAGACCCCAACCAGGCCAA